AGAGAAGAAGGAGGAAGAGAAGAGGGGGGAGUUGAAGAGUUUCAACAUCCUCUGGUAGGACCCCCAGUAAGUAAACCAAGGCACCACCUGUCUGAGUAAUAAGGGAGCGAAGCACUCCAAGUUGGAAACACCUCCGUCUUUUCUCUCCCCACCAUGGACCUCUUCUUGCUCCUGUGCUGUGUGGCCUUUCGUCUCUUGGGAACAGGCUCCGUGGAUGCUGGCAUUACCCAGACCCCAAGGAAUGGGAUUAUAGAGACAGGAAAGAGCAUUGUACUGGAGUGUUCUCAGACUAUGGAUCAUGCCUAUAUGUACUGGUAUCGACAAGACCCAGAACUGGGGUUACAGCUGGUCUACUUAUCCUACGAUGCUACCUAUUAAGGCAAGACCAGCUUUCAAAGUAAAAGCAAAGACCGAAUGUUGUUCAAUUUUAAUGAUCACCCUUGUCUAAAGGAAGGCUUUCACG